rnacentral:rRNA from 1 species
GACGAACCGAGCGAACGUUGUUCGGAAUCACUGGGCUUAAAGGGCGCGUAGGCGGGUGCUCAAGUCCGUGGUGAAAUCCUCCGGCUCAACCGGAGAACUGCCUCGGAUACUGGGUGCCUCGAGGGUGGUAGGGGUAUGCGGAACUAUCGGUGGAGCGGUGAAAUGCGUAGAGAUCGGGAGGAACACCAGCGACGAAGGUGGCUCCCUGGACCGUUACCGACGCUGAGGCACGAAAGCUAGGGGAGCAAACAGG